GGAAAGUUGCAAAGAACUUUGAAGAGAGAGUUCAAGAGGGCGUGAAACUGUUCAGAAGAAAACGAAAGGAACUGAUAAAAGUGAACUGAAUUCAAUCUGACUGCUUGAAGAGAGUAUGGCUCCAAUGGGGACAGCCCAUCUGCCUUUUCUUCAUAUUGUUGGUGCAUUUUUAGUUCAUGAUCACUGAAUGCAGUUGUAGUUGCACUGUAAGCUUUUGAUCGUAGUUCAGUGCUUUUUGUAUUGAUGCCUUAUCUGAGCUUGCAGCUGGUAAUUGCAACUGUGGCUUACUUACUACUAUCGAGCUUGGAUAGCCUGAUAUUUUUGUAUUCAUCUGGCAUCCUCUGCAAUGCAGGGUUGUUGGAUGUUUCUGAGAUAGAUGGCAUAUUUCUGAGUUGUAAGUAGUCAGUGCUUUUCAGCAAACCUUUUGACCCGUCUUGAAACACGGACCAAGGAGUCUAACAUGUGCGCGAGUUAAUGAGUUGAACACUCAAAAACGCAAUGAAGGUAACAUGCCAUUUUGGCAAAUGGGAAACAAAUCAGUAAUGGUUUGGUGCACCAUGAUCCCGCUUGCUCUGCAAUGUCAGGAGAGCGGAGAAGGAGUGUACAUGUUGGGACCCGAGAGAUGGUGAACUAUGCCUGAGCAGGAUGAAGCCAGAGGAGACUCUGGUGGAGGUCCAUAGCGGUGCUGACGUGCAAAUCGAUCGUCAGACUUGCGUAUAGGGGCGGAAAGACUAAUCGAACCAUCUA
rnacentral:rRNA from 1 species